AGAGUUAAAAAGUACGUGAAAUUGUUGAAAGGGAAACGAUUGAAGUCAGUCAUGCCCGUGAAAAUUCAGUUUGGCGGGUUUUUGGUUCAGGAGUAGAGGCAGGGUCAAACCGUUUCUCUUUUGGACUUGAGAUUUGUCAGAUGCACUUUUUCUUUGGCAGGUCAGCGUCGAUUUCGGAGGCUGUAAAAUACUUGGGGUAAAGUAGCUCUGCUUCGGGAGAGUGUUAUAGACCUUGGGGGAUGCAGCCUGUGAGAUCGAGGAUUGCAGCAAAUGCUUUUGGCUUGUCGCCUGAUCUUUGGAUGUUACCUCGCUUGUGACAAUAUUCUUGCCGCCGGUGAGUACUAAUGCCUAUUAGGUUAGAGCGAUCAAAAAUUUUGCUAAGGAUGCUGACGUAAUGGCUUUAAACGACC
rnacentral:rRNA from 1 species